rnacentral:lncRNA from 1 species
UGAUGCAGGUGGAACUUUAAGAGCAAGGAUGGAUGGGAGAUAAGAUAGGAUGAAGCACAGUAUUUGUAAGUGUACAGUUGUGUUUUGGGUAUCAGCAACCUUUAGCCUAUGGAAGAAGUCAAGAAGACCAGAGCUGCAAUUUUAGGAUUUAGGUGAAAAUCUGGAGAAGAUACAGAAGAAUAGAAUGUUGAGUUCUAGUAUGGCUUAAAAAGCUGGUCAGAGGUGAUCUCUAGUGUCCUUGAGAAUGCUUUGAAUUAUCUGAGUGUUAAUUUCUAGCAUUAGUACAUAAAACAAGGUCCUUUUCAAAGGAAUACUCUCCUUAGGACAACUCUCAUUGACGUCUUAUCCAAAGGAGUUAUAGUAUCCUCAUGGAUUCUAAUUGGGUGGGGGAUGAGAUGACCUGUGAGAUUAAGAGGUCAAAUGGUUUACAGACUCUUCCCCUGUCAAAGUUGUUCACAGCCUAAAAAUGUCUGAAAUUGGGUAUG